UACGGAGGGUGCAAGCGUUGUUCGGAAUCACUGGGCGUAAAGGGUGCGUAGGCGGCCGUGCAAGUCUGGCGUGAAAGCCCCGGGCUCAGCCCGGGAAGUGCGCUCGAAACUGCGCGGCUCGAGUGCCGGGAGGGGAGAGUGGAAUUCCUGGUGUAGCGGUGAAAUGCGUAGAUAUCAGGAGGAACACCUGCGGUGUAGACGGCUUACUGGACCAUAACUGACGCUGAGGCACGAAAGCGUGGGUAGCAAACAGG
rnacentral:rRNA from 1 species